rnacentral:rRNA from 1 species
UACGUAGGGUGCGAGCGUUAAUCGGAAUUACUGGGCGUAAAGCGUGCGCAGGCGGUUCGCUGUGUCCGAUGUGAAAUCCCCGGGCUCAACCCGGGAACUGCGUCCGAAACUGGCAGGCUCGAAUUCGGGAGAGGGAUGCGGAAUUCCAGGUGUAGCGGUGAAAUGCGUAGAUAUCUGGAGGAACACCGGUGGCGAAGGCGGCAUCCUGGACCGGGAUUGACACUGAGGCGCGAAAGCCAGGGGAGCAAACGGG